rnacentral:rRNA from 1 species
AUUGAACGCUGGCGGCAUGCCUUACACAUGCAAGUCGAACGGCAGCACGGACUUCGGUCUGGUGGCGAGUGGCGAACGGGUGAGUAAUAUAUCGGAACAUACCUUGUAGUGGGGGAUAACUAUCCGAAGGAUAGCUAAUACCGCAUACGCUCUACGGAGGGAAGUGGGGGAUCGCAAGACCUCAUGCUAUAAGAGUGGCCGAUAUCUGAUUAGCUAGUUGGUGAGGUAAAGGCUUCACCAAGGCGACGAUCAGUAGCUGGUCUGAGAGGACGACCAGCCACACUGGAACUGAGACGCGGUCCAGACUCCUACGGGAGGCAGCAGUGGGGAAUUUUGGACAAUGGGGGCAACCCUGAUCCAGCAAUGCCGCGUGAGUGGAAGAAGGCCUC